GGGGCUGUAGCUCAGAUGGCUAGAGCGAUACGUUCGCAACGUAUAGGUCGAGGGUUCGACUCCCUUCAGCUCCACCA
rnacentral:tRNA from 1 species